rnacentral:rRNA from 1 species
CCUACGGGCGGCAGCAGUCGGGAAUCUUUCACAAUGGGCGAAAGCCUGAUGGAGCAACGCCGCGUGAAGGAUGAAGGCCUUCGGGUUGUAAACUGCUUUUAUAAGCGAGAAAUAUGAUGGUAACUUAUGAAUAAGGAUCGGCUCACUACGUGCCAGCAGCCGCGGUCAUACGUAGGCUCCGAGCAUUAUCCGGAGUGACUGGGUGUAAAGAGUUGCGUAGGUGGCAUAAUAAGUAGCUAGUGAAAUCUGGUGGCUCAACCAUUCAGACUAUUAGCGAAACUGUUAAGCUCGAGACCGGUAGGGGUAACUGGAAUUUCUAGUGUAGGAGUGAAAUCCGUAGAUAUUAGAAGGAACACCAAUAGCGUAGGCAGGUUGCUGGGACGGUUCUGACACUAAGGCACGAAAGCGUAGGGAGCAAACGGGAUUAGAUACCCCGGUAGUC